rnacentral:rRNA from 1 species
GAUGAACGCUGGCGGCGUGCCUAAUACAUGCAAGUCGAGCGAACAGACGAGGAGCUUGCUCCUCUGACGUUAGCGGCGGACGGGUGAGUAACACGUGGAUAACCUACCUAUAAGACUGGGAUAACUUCGGGAAACCGGAGCUAAUACCGGAUAAUAUAUUGAACCGCAUGGUUCAAUAGUGAAAGACGGUUUUGCUGUCACUUAUAGAUGGAUCCGCGCCGCAUUAGCUAGUUGGUAAGGUAACGGCUUACCAAGGCAACGAUGCGUAGCCGACCUGAGAGGGUGAUCGGCCACACUGGAACUGAGACACGGUCCAGACUCCUACGGGAGGAAGCAGUAGGGAAUCUUCCGCAAGGGGCGAAAGCCUGACGGAGCAACGCCGCGUGAGUGACGAAGGUCUUCGGAUCGUAAAACUCUGUUAUUAGGGAAGAACAAAUGUGUAAGUAACUAUGCACGUCUUGACGGUACCUAAUCAGAAAGCCACGGCUAACUACGUG